rnacentral:tRNA from 1 species
GGAGUUGUGGCUCAGCAGCAGAGCGUUCACCUACCAUGUGUGAGGCACUGGGUUCGAUUCUCAGUACCA